rnacentral:rRNA from 1 species
GACGAACGCUGGCGGCGUGCCUAAUACAUGCAAGUAGAACGCUGAAGGAAGGAGCUUGCUCUUUCUGGAUGAGUUGCGAACGGGUGAGUAACGCGUAGGUAACCUGCCUGGUAGCGGGGGAUAACUAUUGGAAACGAUAGCUAAUACCGCAUAAAAUUGAUUAUUGCAUGAUAGUCAAUUAAAAGGUGCAACUGCACCACUACCAGAUGGACCUGCGUUGUAUUAGCUAGUUGGUGGGGUAACGGCUCACCAAGGCGACGAUACAUAGCCGACCUGAGAGGGUGAUCGGCCACACUGGGACUGAGACACGGCCCAGACUCCUACGGGAGGCAGCAGUAGGGAAUCUUCGGCAAUGGACGGAAGUCUGACCGAGCAACGCCGCGUGAGGGAAGAAGGUUUUCGGAUCGUAAAGCUCUGUUGUAAGAGAAGAACGAGUGUGAGAGUGGAAAGUUCACACUGUGACGGUAUCUUACCAGAAAGGGACGGCUAACUACGUG